rnacentral:miRNA from 1 species
UUUUGGGUUGGUCAAAAAGUUCAUUCUGGUUUCCUGUACGAUCUUACAGAAAAACCCAAACAAACUUUUUGGGCAACCCAAUA